rnacentral:rRNA from 1 species
UUAAAUCGUACCCCAAACCGACACAGGUGGUCAGGUAGAGAAUACCAAGGCGCUUGAGAGAACUCGGGUGAAGGAACUAGGCAAAAUGGUGCCGUAACUUCGGGAGAAGGCACGCUGGUGUGUAGGUGAAGUCCCUGCGGAUGGAGCUGAGACCAGUCGAAGAUACCAGCUGGCUGCAACUGUUUAUUAAAAACACAGCACUGUGCAAACACGAAAGUGGACGUAUACGGUGUGACGCCUGCCCGGUGCCGGAAGGUUAAUUGAUGGGGUUAUCCGUAAGGAGAAGCUCUUGAUCGAAGCCCCGGUAAACGGCGGCCGUAACUAUAACGGUCCUAAGGUAGCGAAAUUCCUUGUCGGGUAAGUUCCGACCUGCACGAAUGGCGUAAUGAUGGCCAGGCUGUCUCCACCCGAGACUCAGUGAAAUUGAACUCGCUGUGAAGAUGCAGUGUACCCGCGGCAAGACGGAAAGACCCCGUGAACCUUUACUAUAGCUUGACACUGAACAUUGAGCCUUGAUGUGUAGGAUAGGUGGGAGGCUUUGAAGCGUGGACGCCAGUCUGCGUGGAGCCAACCUUGAAAUACCACCCUUUAAUGUUUGAUGUUCUAACGUUGGCCCCUGACCGGGGUUGCGGACAGUGUCUGGUGGGUAGUUUGACUGGGGCGGUCUCCUCCCAAAGCGUAACGGAGGAGCACGAAGGUUAGCUAAUCCUGGUCGGACAUCAGGAGGUUAGUGCAAUGGCAUAAGCUAGCUUGACUGCGAGCGUGACGGCGCGAGCAGGUGCGAAAGCAGGUCAUAGUGAUCCGGUGGUUCUGAAUGGAAGGGCCAUCGCUCAACGGAUAAAAGGUACUCCGGGGAUAACAGGCUGAUACCGCCCAAGAGUUCAUAUCGACGGCGGUGUUUGGCACCUCGAUGUCGGCUCAUCACAUCCUGGGGCUGAAGUAGGUCCCAAGGGUAUGGCUGUUCGCCAUUUAAAGUGGUACGCGAGCUGGGUUUAGAACGUCGUGAGACAGUUCGGUCCCUAUCUGCCGUGGGCGCUGGAGAAUUGAGGGGGGCUGCUCCUAGUACGAGAGGACCGGAGUGGACGCAUCACUGGUGUUCGGGUUGUCAUGCCAAUGGCACUGCCCGGUAGCUAAAUGCGGAAGAGAUAAGUGCUGAAAGCAUCUAAGCACGAAACUUGCCCCGAGAUGAGUUCUCCCUGAGACUUUAAGUCUCCUGAAGGAACGUUGAAGACGACGACGUUGAUAGGCCGGGUGUGUAAGCGCAGCGAUGCGUUGAGCUAACCGGUACUAAUGAACCGUGAGGCUUAACCUUACAACGCCGAAG